UCGAGAAUCUUCGGCAAUGGGCGCAAGCCUGACCGAGCGACACCGCGUGCGGGAUGAAGGCCUUCGGGUUGUAAACCGCUGUCGUAGGGGAGGAAGGGCCUGCGAAGAGCAGGACUUGACCGAUCCUAGGAGGAAGGGCCGGCUAAUCUCGUGCCAGCAGCCGCGGUAAUACGAGAGGCCCAAAACGAUAUUCGGAUUACUGGGCUUAAAGAGUUCGUAGGCGGCUUGGAAAGUGGGGUGUGAAAGCCCUCGGCUCAACCGAGGAAUUGCGCUCCAAACUACCGAGCUUGAGGAAGCUAGAGGUGAGCAGAACUGAUGGUGGAGCGGUGAAAUGCGUUGAUAUCAUCAGGAAUACCGGAGGCGAAGGCGGCUCACUGGGACUUUUCUGACGCUGAGGAACGAAAGCUAGGGGAGCGAAACGGGAUUAGAUACCCCGGUAGUCCUAGCCGUAAACGGUGAAGCACUGGACCGGGGCCUGCACAGGCCCUCGGUCGUAGCGAAAGUGUUAAG
rnacentral:rRNA from 1 species